rnacentral:rRNA from 1 species
GACGAACGCUGGCGGCGUGCUUAACACAUGCAAGUCGAACGGAAAGGCCUCCACUUUGUUGGUGGGGGUGCUCGAGUGGGGAACGGGUGGGUAACACGUGGGUGAUCUGCCCUGUACUCCGGGAUAAGUACGGGGAACUGGGUGUAACACAGGAUAGGACCAUGGUUUAGUGUCUCACGGUUGAGAAUUUAUUGUUUUGGUGCAGGAUGAGCACGCGGCCUAUUAGCAUGUUGGUGGCGUAGUGGCUUAUCAAGGCGUCGACGGGUUGCCAGCCUGAGAGGGUGGACGGCCACAGAGGGACUGAGAUACCGCCCAGACACCUACACGCGGCAGCGGUGGGGAAUAGUGGACAAUGGGCGCAAGCUUGAGGAAGCGGCGCCGCCUGGAGGAUGACGGCCUUCGGGUUGUAAGCUCCUCUCGUUGGGGACGAAGCCGCUCCUUUUUUGGGUGUGGUGACGGUACCUUGGUUAAUAAGCACCGGCUAACUACGUG